rnacentral:ncRNA from 1 species
AGAGAGUAUGAUCACAAGACUGAAACUUAAAGAAAUUGAUGAAAGAGCAUCACAAGAUGUGAAGUCUGUGGCUUAAUUUGACUCAAUACAGAGAAACUCAUCAGAUUCAGAUAAAAUAAGAAUUGACAGAUUGAGAGCUCUUUCUUAAUCUUUUGAAUGAUGGUGCAUGGCGGUUCUUAGUUAAUGAAGUGAUUUGUCUGCUUAAUUGUGAUAAUGAAUGAGAUCUUAACCUGCUAAAUAGCCCGGCUCACAUUUGCAGACUACUGACUUCUUAGAGAGACUAUCAGCUCAAGCUGAUGAAAGUUUGAGAUAGUAACAGAUCUGUGAUACUCUUAGAUAUUCUGAGCUGCAUGUGCACUACACUGACAGAGUCAGCAAGUACAUCAUCUUAACUGAGAGAUCUGAAUAAUCUUGUUAAACUCUGUUAUGCUGAGAAUAGAGUAUUGCAAUUAUUAUUAUUAUUAUUAUUAUUAUUAUUCUUCAAUUAUAGAUGUAUGCAGUCAGAGACUAUGACAUCUACCUGAGAACUUUUAGUUCUCAGGGUUUUUUCUAUAUCUGUAAAGUUAACUAUUAUACAUUCAUCAAUUUCAGAUAUGUAAAAUCAGAAAAUUCCAGCCUAGAAUACAAAAACUGUUUACAAAUUGCAGUGUUUUAACAUCUUCUGAUACUUUGAAAUCAUUUGACAAUAUCAUGACAAAGAAAAAGAGAAAGAGAACACAGUCUUAAAGAUAGACACAUUAAAUAGAUAGAUAGAAAGAAAUUGAAAGAAAAAGAUAAAGUAAAGAGAGCUACAGAACAAGAUCUCUGCAGUUUACAUCUUAAGCUAUAUACAUAUUUUAACACCUUAUAUAACCGACCGCCGCCUCUGUCCUCUCGGGCCCGCUUCAGGGGUUAUCAUUCCCUCUAAAGGGCCGCCGCCCAGCUAGCUCCUGUAACUAGCUUACUCAUAAGUGAGAUCCUCACUAAGAAUAACACCAGAGCUACUUAAUUCUAGUUAAGUCUCUAAUCUUCCAGCUGUCAAUCUCAGCAUUCCAGCCUAUCAAUUGGCUGUCACAGUCUUGCUUGCACUAACCACCUAUUAAGAAUGUCUAGGCCUUGUCUCACCUAGGUCCUUGCUAGGCCCAGGGUGUCCUAAUCGGAUAGUUUUUAAAUCUCAUUCCCCGGAAGUGAGUGCCUAGAGUGAGGGGGAUGAGACCUGGCCCAGUUAAGCUUGACAAUGAUUCACUAUCCUGCGGGCACUCUAGACCUCAAUCACUCUAGUACUGAUCUAACUUGAAGCGCCCAGGGGGCUGUUAACCCUAAGAUCAGUGAGAAUUAGCGCCCGGGAACCCCCGGGAUAGACAUCUUAAGCUUGACAAUGAUUCGCUAUAGUGCAUCCAGGGGCCCCCGGUACUGUUUUAUGACUUAACAGUGGAAGCUGUGGUUAAGAUGGCUCUUACAGGGUUCGAACCUGCCCCCUCUUGACAUUCAUUCCCCGGGGGGAAGGCCGCUAAUUGGGGCUCCAUGGUAGCGUAGUUAACCACUACGCCACCGGGCCAGAGUAUUGCAAUUAUUGCUCUUCAAUGAGAAAUGUCUAGUAGAUAUAAGUCAUCAGCUUGUGCUGAUUAUGUCUCUACUCUUUGUACACACUGCUCAUUGCUACUACUGAUUGAAUGGCUCAGUGAGGUCUUCAGACUGACUCAGAGAAAUUGGCAAUGACUACUCAGAGCUGAAAAGUUGAUCAAACUUAAUUAUUUAGAGGAAGUAAAAGUUGUAACAAGGUUUCUGUAGAUGAACCUAUCAUCUA